CUUGUUUAUUCAUCCAUCAUUUAUCCAUUCACGGUUUUUAUUCCCCAAGCACUUGGACUCCUCAUAUGUGCCAGCAGGCACUGUGCUUGGUGUGCAGAGGAAACAAGUGGGCAAGACAAGGUCUGUGUCCUAGGCACCUAGCACAACGCCUGUCUACUCAGAUGGAGAGUCCACAUUGGCAGCCACGUGUCUGUGGCGCAGGCUGCUGCCUGGGCCCAUGGUACAGGACAUCACUUAUCCCGGAGCUGUCACCAGCAUGACCUCAGCCCAUCAGCAGGAAACCGCAGCGUUUUACUAUCUCUGUUGCACAGAUGAGGCUCGGUCACAUACCAGGUACGCUCCUGGGAAGCUAUGGGGGUGGGGUGUUUGGAAGGUGGCAGCCGCAGAGAAGAGGCAGCACCCUGGUGAGCUGUCAGUUGGGCAAGGAGCAUGCCUUGCUUCUGUGGUUAAGGGGGCUCCAGGUUGGUGUGGAGGGAGAGGGGAGCAGGGGCGGCCGUAGCCCCCAAGAGAUAAGACCCUCCUCAUCAAGGCCCAUCUCCAAAUGCCGCCUCCUCCAGCAAGCCUUCACGGAAGGCUUCAUCAGAGAGGCUGUCCCCACCUUCACCCCCGUCCCCCCAACUUCCCAGAACACAGACCACACCAGCCCCCAAACUUGCGUGGGGGGCCUGCUCUGCCUGUCUCCUCACCUAACGCUGACUGACAUCUGAGCCGCAGGGGUGGGGGCUCCUCUGGGUCUCCCCCAAGGUGCCAAAUGUGGGCUCUGCGUGGGGUAGGUGCUCACCAGCACUGUCUGAGUCAACCAGAGAAGGGUGAGCUCCACCUGGAAGAUCACUUGAGGGAGGGAGCCCUGGAGCUCUGGAGAGGCAGGAGGACCUUCCAGAGGUUGGGGGAGAAGACAGGGGAGGAGCGGAGAGCUGGGAAGGGGAGUUCAGAUCUCCUAUGAGAGCCACACUUCCCACCACACACCUGAAUAUAGGGCGGACCCGCCCUUGCUGUCCUGUCUGGGAACCCCUAAAAGGUGUGGAAGGACCAGCUGGCUCCCCUGACCGGUCCCAGCCAGGGAAGCCAGGUCUGGGGGAGGAGGGACCGUGACUGGGCCGAGGGCCCCUCCUGCACUGGAGCCCUUUGCCCAGGGGGCCUGGGACCUCUCAGGCCCACAGCCCCUCCCACACUGGCCAUGAGGCAGAAUGGGGCCUCCCCAGGGGCGGGUGGGGCAGCUGGGAAAGGGGGGCCCUGGAGGAAAGGGGAGCAGGUGUUUACCUGGUCCAGAGACACUUGGCUGAAGUUCAAGUUUGGCUACUUAAACCACACCAAGAGGGAGAGAGAUGCUGUUUGUUCCUAGGUUGCCACCUCAAACCUCCUAGGGCACGGGUGGGGACUGGAAGGGACAGGGAAAGCUGAGGGUCUGGGCCCUCAACACUCAGGGAGGAUCCACAACCACUUCUGGCAUAGCCCCCCUCCUCCCACCAAACCUCUCUUAGGUGGGCAGCACCUGGAUUCCUGUCCCAGCCUGUCUGUGCGGAGAAGAAAGAGGAGGAAAGAGGGGCUGGAGAGACAGAGGGAGACAGAACAAGGGACCGGAAGUGGGGUGAUGGAGGCAAAGGAGGGGGCAAGGGAGAAGGCUCCAGAAAGGACUUGGGCAGCGCCCCUGGGAGUGGAGCAGGGCUGCCCUCGUGUCCUAGCCCAGAGGGAGUUUGCUGCCCAGGGCUGGCCCUGUACUCUGCCUAGAAACAGUAUGUGAACUUUCUGGGGGCCCGCCCCAGCCUCUCUGCACCAUGGGUAGUUCUGGGUGUGUGUCUAAGGGCUGCUGUAUGUGAUGUGACAGUGCGCUCUGGGAGGUGGCUGCUUGUCGUCGACAGGCCCAGGGCAGCACCCCCACCCCUGUCAAGCUCUUUGAUUAUUUUUUCCUGCCGACUCUGUCUCCAGGGACUGCCUCCCGCCCAGGAUGUAAGGCAGGCAGCAGCUUGUCUGACCCAGCCUGGCCCUGGGCGAGUCCCUGCUCUUAGGGGGCUGGAUGGUCUGAGCCAGGGAGACAAGAGACACUGCUCCCACUCCCAUCCUGGGAGCCGGCAAGGCCCCCUCCCUUCCUCCAGUUUCCCAACCUCUCUGCUGAGAGCAGACCCGGAGCCCUGGGGAAGCAGCCAGAUUCCUGCCAGGCGGGUGGGCCGUGGGAGGGAUCAGCAGGCAGCGCUACUGUUCUUCUGCAGCUCCCAUCCCCCACGCAGGGUGAGCCAGCCUCCCGCCUCCUCCCGCUUCCCCUCGCAGUGUCCAGGGCCUGCUUGUCCGAGUGAGACAAGAGUAAUGGACGCAGCCACGGCCUGACCAAAGGGCCUUGGCUCUGGGCCCAGCGUUAGGAAUACUGUCCAUAAACAUUUGGGGAGUGAAUGGUGCCUGCCCCUCCCCACACAGCCGCCUCCUUCCUGUAGCCACAGAAGGCUUGUGGGAGAAGGAAGCCAUGGUGUCCAUCCUCUGCCUCCAAGCUGGGAUCAGCAUCAAAGAUCUUGGGGUCCAGCCUACUGGGCCCUCGACCAGGUCUGGUCACAGACAGGAACCUGCCUUCAUUACGCAGGGCAGCACCACUUCAGCCAGCCCCCUGUCUCUAGGCUGGCCAGGGUCAGCUGCAGCCCAGAGACACCAAGCCUUCUCUCUUGGGUCCAGAAUCCCUUGCUGGUGGAUAUUCCUUUUGAAAUCUAGCUUCUGUCCUUCAGGGACCCCUGUACUUGGUAAUGAGAUGGAAAUAAACCUUGUCUGGCCUUUGGAAAAUUAACUGCAGUCGUCACCCUGCUCUCCUGUGCCCCCUCCUGGAGAGCUGUCUGCCUGCUGUCACGUUGUCUGGAAGGGCUCAGCCCAGGGUGGAUGCUCUGAAACUCCUUGGGGGUCCCCUUCCCUGCCCUACCAGGAGGCUGGCGGGGGACACACAGUCCUCAACGCUCCCCCCUCCCAUGGCCUCAGAUGGAGACAACAAGGACAUCUUUUGAAGGAAGUCUCUGAGCAGUUCCCACAACGGGCAGCUGGGAACUGGAGGUGACCGCCGCCUGCCUGCUGCAGGGGGAUGGCUGAAGCAGUCUCAGGGUGCUCCCUGCCCCCACUCCCCGGGCCUCAGGGAGGCUGUGACACAGAAAAGCUGGGGUCAGGGCGGGGAAGAAGGCAGCCGUGUGUGCUCUUCCUGCCUUGUUCCCUUGUCAACAACUUCAUAUCCAACCUCAUUUCAGGAGACUCCCUUGGCCCACUGUCUUAUUGAGCAAUUUGGGGCAAGUUAUUGCAAUCCUCCAGGCUAGGUUUCCUCAUCCGUAAAAUGGGAGUAAUAAUAGUGCUUACUUCACAGGAUCGUUUCAAGGAUCAGAUUAGAUAAUGCACGCAGGGCACUGAGCACGGAAUAGAGUAUACAGAUGACAUCUUAAUCUGCUGGAUGGGGAGGUUCUGCGACUCGGUCAGCAUCACAAGUUGAGGCAGAGACGGUGUCAGGACCAGUUCCGACUCCCACCGGCAGCUUCGACAGCAUGCCUCACUGCGCCUCCAUUCAGCACACGUUCAUUCAGUCCUGCUCUGUGCCUGGCCCCAACCUGAGGCAAACAGAACUAGACCCAGGGACCCUGCCCUGUCUCUUUCCCCAGAGACAGCGCCUGGCAGGGCUAUUCCUGGGCUUCAAGACCCUCCUGGUCCCCCCCUGCCCCCCACGCAGGGCCAUCCCCUGGGCUCCGGUCCAGCUUUCUCUGUUCCCUUGGAGGGAGCGCCAGGAAUGGGAGGCGGCAGGCGGCCAGGGGCACAGGGCGGGCCGGGAGGAAGGGCCCCAGGUCUGGUUCAUUUCCUGGCAUCCCUGUUUGCCGUGUGCCCCUGGCUUCUGGUGGCUGUUUCCGGCCCGCCCACAGCCUCCCUGGCUGAGUGGGUAGCUGGCCUGGGACUGGAAUUCUCCCACUGUCCUCAGUUUCAGCUGUCUGUCAGCUGGGCCCUCCCCUCAGAGCCCAACAGGUCCAGAGGAGAAUCCUGCUCCCCCACCGGCUGCAUGACCUUGGGCAUGUCACUUUGCCAGUCUGGCCCUUCAUUUCUUCUUCUGGAAAGGGGAUAAUGGGACUGAUCUCACAGGCUUGUCAUGAAGAAUAAAGGACAUGGUAUACAUAAAGGGCCUGGCACAAUGAGACGCCCAAUAAAAACUGUUAUCCAUUUUCUGAGCCAGCUCUCUCCAUUUUCCUCCUCCAGGAAGUCUUCCACGAUGCCCACUUUCCCUUGUCUCCCCAUCCCUGUGUUGGGCUCCCAGUCUGAACCCUG
rnacentral:lncRNA from 1 species